rnacentral:rRNA from 1 species
UACAGAGGUCCCAAGCGUUGUUCGGAUUCACUGGGCGUAAAGGGUGCGUAGGCGGUCGGGUAAGUCUGAUGUGAAAUCUCACAGCUUAACUGUGAAACUGCAUUGGAUACUAUCCGGCUCGAGGAAUGGAGGGGAGACUGGAAUACUUGGUGUAGCAGUGAAAUGCGUAGAUAUCAAGUGGAACACCAGUGGCGAAGGCGAGUCUCUGGACAUUUCCUGACGCUGAGGCACGAAAGCCAGGGAGGCAAACAGG